GUAGGUGGCAAGCGUUGUCCGGAAUUAUUGGGCGUAAAGCGCGCGCAGGCGGUUCGUUUAAGUCUGAUGUGAAAGCCCACGGCUCAACCGUGGAGGGUCAUUGGAAACUGGAGAACUUGAGUACAGAAGAGGAAAGCGGAAUUCCACGUGUAGCGGUGAAAUGCGUAGAGAUGUGGAGGAACACCAGUGGCGAAGGCGGCUUUCUGGUCUGUAACUGACGCUGAGGCGCGAAAGCGUGGGGAGCAAACAGGAUUAGAUACCCUGGUAGUCCACGCCGUAAACGAUGAGUGCUAAGUGUUAGGGGGGUUUCCGCCCCUUAGUGCUGCAGCUAACGCAUUAAGCACUCCGCCUGGGGAGUACGGCCGCAAGGCUG
rnacentral:rRNA from 1 species